AGUGUAGGUUGUUUUCUAAGUUAAAUGUGAAAGCCCGGGGCUUAACUCCGGAAUGUCAUUUAAUACUGGAAGACUAGAGUGCAGGAGGGGUGAGCGGAAUUCCUAGUGUAGCGGUAAAAUGCGUAGAUAUUAGGAAGAACACCAGAGGCGAAGGCGGCUCACUGGACUGUUACUGACACUGAAACUCGAAAGCGUGGGGAGCAAACAG
rnacentral:rRNA from 1 species